AACGAACGCUGGCGGCAUGCCUAACACAUGCAAGUCGAACGAAGGCUUCGGCCUUAGUGGCGCACGGGUGCGUAACGCGUGGGAAUCUGCCCUUUGGUUCGGAAUAACAGCUGGAAACGGCUGCUAAUACCGGAUGAUGACGAAAGUCCAAAGAUUUAUCGCCAGAGGAUGAGCCCGCGUUGGAUUAGGUAGUUGGUGGGGUAAAGGCCUACCAAGCCGACGAUCCAUAGCUGGUCUGAGAGGAUGAUCAGCCACACUGGGACUGAGACACGGCCCAGACUCCUACGGGAGGCAGCAGUGGGGGAUAUUGGACAAUGGGCGCAAGCCUGAUGCAGCAAGGCCGCGUGAGUGAUGAAGGCCCUAGGGUUGUAAAGCUCUUUUACCCGGGAAGAUAAUGACUGUACCGGGAGAAUAAGCCCCGGCUAACUCCGUG
rnacentral:rRNA from 1 species